GAGCAGAUGAGGAGUGAGUUACUUCAAGAGAAAGCUGCCAAGCAAGACUUAGAGUGUGACAAGAUUUCCCUAGAGAGACAGAACAAAGACUUAAAGAGCCGGAUUACCCACCUGGAAGGUUCCUACAGGUCCAGUAAGGAGGGCCUGGUGGUGCAAAUGGAGGCCAGGAUUGCAGAGCUGGAGGACCGGCUGGAGAACGAAGAGAGGGACCGGGCCAACCUGCAGCUCAACAACCGAAGGCUGGAGCGGAAGGUGAAGGAGUUGGUGAUGCAGGUGGAUGAUGAGCAUCUGUCACUGACUGACCAGAAGGACCAGCUGAGCUUGCGCCUGAAAGCCAUGAAGCGCCAGGUGGAGGAGGCUGAAGAGGAGAUCGACAGACUGGAAAGUUCUAAGAAGAAGCUGCAGAGGGAGCUGGAGGAGCAGAUAGGAGUGAACGAGCAGCUGCAGGGGCAGCUCAACUCUAUGAAGAAGGGCUUAAGGCUUAAGACACUGUCUAGUAAAGUACUGGAUGACUCAGACGAUGAUGACCUCAGCAGUGAUGCGGGAAGCCUCUAUGAAGCCCCACUGAGCUAUCCCUUUCCCAAAGACAGCACUAUCACCAGCCAGAUCUGAUCUGCUUCCGGGCCCGUUCAUCCUGACAGGACUCCGCAGCCAUCUCGACAGUAGGAGGGCUUGGGAAUGGAGUCAGACCCACAGUUCCCACCUCACAUUCUUCCCGGGGCCUCUACGUGGUUGAGUGACCUUGGAUCUUAGAUAGGGAGCUAUUGAAAUUUCAGAUGACCUAACUGGGAUAUUGGGGGUAAGACAAAGCCCUGUUGUGCCCUGCUGUCUGCCAUCACUCCUUCUCCUGCCCCUGUUCCAAUGCCGGCUGUAAUACUAUAGGGACGUGUAGGGAUGAAAUGAUGAACAGACUGCACACAUUUUAAACCAGAACUUCUCAAGCACUGCUCUUCUACUUUAGAAUGCUCCAGAGUCUUUGGAGUGUGAUGUCUUUGUAAAGUUCACACAUGGAUCUUGAUUAACUUUUAAAAUAUGAAGCUACCAGAUCUCAAGAAUUAAAAAGCGGGAGGCAAAGGAGGGAGAGUGAAGGCUACUCUGGAAACCAGAGGGGUUCAGACUGGAAAAGUAGCACUGGGAAUCAAUCCAUGGAUUGUAUGGGAAAACAGUUCAUUGAUGGUUGGGGAAGGACACUUAGGGCUGAGUGUGAGGCCUUGGUUUCUUAUUUUACUGAGGAGGCUUAUUGUAUCUGAACCAUGUGAAGAGCUGUUUCCACUCCCCAUUUCCUUCAAGCAAGUAGAAUGGGGAGACAGAUGAGAUUUUCAACAAGUGCUGUGCUUCUCAAAGGUCAAGAACCCUAUUGUUGUAUCUCCUUGGCCCUUUUCCUCCAUGGCAGACCUCCAAGUGAAGCUUGCUCAGGCCUGGAAUUGGAGGACUAGGAGGGGCCUUGAGAUGAGGCUUCUGGGCUUAGAUAUGAGGACGAGGAGGGAGGCAUCCAGGAAGUUCAAGGAAUAAGUGGGAGUAGGGCUGAAGUA
rnacentral:lncRNA from 1 species